AUGCAAGUCGAGCGGCAAGGGCCUUCGGGCCCCUAGAGCGGCGGACGGGUGAGUAACACGUGGACAAUCUGCCCCCCGGUCCGGGAUAGCCCAGGGAAACCUGGAUUAAUACCGGAUGCGAGCGCGAGCACACAGGUGUUUGCGGGGAAAGGCGCUUCGGCGCCGCCGGGGGAUGAGUCCGCGGCCCAUUAGCUAGACGGCGGGGUAAAGGCCCACCGUGGCGACGAUGGGUAGCCGGCCUGAGAGGGUGAUCGGCCACAUUGGAACUGAGACACGGUCCAGACUCCUACGGGAGGCAGCAGUGGGGAAUAUUGGACAAUGGGGGGAACCCUGAUCCAGCCAUGCCGCGUGUGUGAAGAAGGUCUUAGGAUUGUAAAGCACUUUAAGUUGGGAGGAAGAGCAGUUAACUAAUAUUUGACUGUUUUGACGUUACCGACAGAAUAAGCACCGGCUAACUUCGUGCCAGCAGCCGCGGUAAUACGAAGGGUGCAAGCGUUAAUCGGAAUUACUGGGCGUAAAGCGCGCGUAGGUGGUUCGUUAAGUUAGGAGUGAAAGCCCCGGGCUCAACCUGGGAAUUGCUUCUAAAACUGGCGAGCUAGAGUAUGGUAGAGGGUGGUGGAAUUUCCUGUGUAGCGGUGAAAUGCGUAGAUAUAGGAAGGAACAUCAGUGGCGAAGGCGACCACCUGGACUGAUACUGACACUGAGGUGCGAAAGCGUGG
rnacentral:rRNA from 1 species